AUAUGAGAGGUUCAUCCUGCCCAAUGACAACAUAGUUCAAUGGCCGCGGUACCCUGACCGUGCAAAGGUAGCAUAAUCACUUGCCCCUUAAUUAGGGGCUGGCAUGAAAGGACACACGAAAGCUUCCCUGUCUCACAAUAACAAAUAAAAAUUAAUCUUCAAGUGAAAAAGCUUGAAUCAAACUGCAGGACAAGAAGACCCCGUUGAGCUUUAUUCUCUAUAGACUAAAUCAAAUAUUAAAUACAUCAUAAACCUAAAAAGAAUUUAGUUGGGGUGACUAAGGAACACCGAAAACUUCCUUUUAUUAAUUAGGAUCAUUCUCCAUACAAAUUGACCCAUUACACAUGAUCAAAAAAAUAAGCUACCACAGGGAUAACAGGCUAAUCUUUCUCAAGAGCCCAAAUUGUCAGAAAGGAUUGGCACCUCGAUGUUGGCUUAGGGGCCCCUAAUGGUGCAGAAGCCAUAAAAGGUAGGUUUGUUCAACCUUUAAAA
rnacentral:rRNA from 1 species